UACGUAGGGUGCGAGCGUUAAUCGGAAUUACUGGGCGUAAAGCGUGCGCAGGCGGUUCGUUAAGUCAGCUGUGAAAGCCCCGGGCUCAACCUGGGAAUUGCGGUUGAAACUGGCGGACUAGAAUCUGGCAGAGGGGGGUGGAAUUCCACGUGUAGCAGUGAAAUGCGUAGAGAUGUGGAGGAACACCGAUGGCGAAGGCAGCCCCCUGGGCCAACACUGACGCUCAGGCACGAAAGCGUGGGGAGCAAACAGG
rnacentral:rRNA from 1 species